ACGUCAAAUGAAUCGAGAGUGCCUAAAGGGAAAGCUUGUACUUCAGAGCCUAGGCAUCCUCUUCCCAGGUCACUGUUUCCAAGCCACAGAACGUGGCCGCCCUGAAAAUAGAGAUACCAGAGAAAUUUUAAAGCAGUUCUCUGAUUUACUGUCUGAAAACGCUGAUCAUGAGAGAUUACCUAAUCAAGAUCACACUGUUGUAUGUGAAUAACUAGAAAGGACAUUUGAGUGGCCUCACUGCUUCCUGCAAGUCAGACAGCUUGGCCAGGACUGGAAACACCUCAGUGACAUCACCUUUUUGGGGAGGCCUGCCUCUGGGCAGCUGCCUGAAGGAUGAAAAGGAGGGGUGGGGAAAGGAGAACGAAAAAGAGGUAGAAAGAUAAAACUGGAUAUUUCCUCCUUAGAAUGGAAAAGUAUGAAACAGAUCAGAGAAGAUUAAGCCCCCAAAGGGGGGAAAAAAGAAAGAAAGUAGGAAGAUCAAGGACGUUAUUGACAGAGUUUUGGCAGAUAAAGGAAUAUCUCUCUCUGUAAUAAAGGAUCCCUUAACUUGA